CCCCUGGUGGUCUAGUGGUGAGGAUGCCUGGUUUUAACCCAAUCUACCCAGGUUUGAUCCCUGGGCAGGGAG
rnacentral:tRNA from 1 species